AGAGUUUGAUCAUGGCUCAGGAUGAACGCUGGCUGUGUGCCUAAUACAUGCAUGUUGAACGAAGCUAAAAGUGCUUGCACUUUAAGACUUAGUAGCGAAUGGGUGAGUAACACGUACUUAACCUACCCCCAAGUUUGGGAUAACGUUUGGAAACGAACGCUAAUACCGAAUACGUAUUUUUAUCGCAUGAUAGAAAUAUAAAAGGAGCUUCGGCUUCGCUAGGGGAUGGGAGUGCGCUACAUUAGUUAGUUGGUAGGGUAAUGGCCUACCAAGACUAUGAUGUAUAGCGGGGCCGAGAGGCUGAUCCGCCACACUGGGACUGAGAUACGGCCCAGACUCCUACGGGAGGCAGCAGUAGGGAAUUUUCCACAAUGAACGAAAGUUUGAUGGAGCGACACAGCGUGCAGGAUGAAGGUCUUCGGAUCGUAAACUGCUGUUAUAAGGGAAGAAAAACUUUAGUAGGUAAUGACUAGAACUUGACGGUACCUUAUCAGAAAGCGACGGCUAACUAUGUGCCAGCAGCCGCGGUAAU
rnacentral:rRNA from 1 species